AAGAAAUGUGGUCUUUGACUUACUUGUAUCAGUAGAUAUCAACCUUUUUGGUCGCUGGCCAUUGGUCCACAUAGGAUAUCAGUCUGAAGUCACUGGAAGUUUCUGAGUAGAUGAGACCAUGAUCUGACAUAUAUGGAAGAUAGACUCUAGGGAGUUCAAAAGUAAGAACAAGUAGACUAUUUAGAUGGCUGUUGCAUAAUCCAGGUCUCACUCUGUCCCCUCAGAGGCUGGAGUA